ensembl:snoRNA SNORD81 Small nucleolar RNA SNORD81
UGGAAUACAUGAUGAUCUCACCUCAGCUUGAACCCUCUCCCUGUUUACUGGAUGAUGAGCAAAGAUCUAAUGUUCUA